GACGAACGCUGGCGGCGUGCCUAAUACAUGCAAGUCGAGCGAGACUCUUCGGAGUCUAGCGGCGGACGGGUGAGUAACACGUGGGCAACCUGCCUGUAAGACUGGGAUAACACCGGGAAACCGGUGCUAAUACCGGAUAAUCCUUUUCCUCUCAUGAGGAAAAGCUGAAAGUCGGUUUCGGCUGACACUUACAGAUGGGCCCGCGGCGCAUUAGCUAGUUGGUGAGGUAACGGCUCACCAAGGCGACGAUGCGUAGCCGACCUGAGAGGGUGAUCGGCCACACUGGGACUGAGACACGACCCAGACUCCUACGGGAGGCAGCAGUAGGGAAUCUUCCAUAAUGGACGAAAGUCUGAUGGAGCAACGCCGCGUGAGCGAUGAAGGCCUUCGGGUCGUAAAGCUCUGUUGUUAGGGAAGAAUAAGUACCGGAGUAACUGCCGGUACCUUGACGGUACCUAACCAGAAAGCCACGGCUAACUACGUGCCAGCCGCCGCAGUAACAC
rnacentral:rRNA from 1 species